rnacentral:rRNA from 1 species
GCAAGUCGAGCGCACCCUUCGGGGUGAGCGGCGGACGGGUUAGUAACGCGUGGGAACAUACCCUUCACUAUGGAAUAGCCUCGGGAAACUGAGAGUAAUACCAUAUACGCCCUUCGGGGGAAAGAUUUAUCGGUGAAGGAUUGGCCCGCGUAAGAUUAGAUAGUUGGUGGGGUAACGGCCUACCAAGUCGACGAUCUAUAGCUGGUUUGAGAGGAUGAUC